rnacentral:rRNA from 1 species
GGACUACAAGGGUUUCUAAUCCUGUUUGCUCCCCACGCUUUCGUGCCUCAACGUCAGAAACGGACUAAGAAGCUGCCUUCGCCAUUGGUGUUCCUCUUGAGAUCUACGCAUUUUACCGCUACUCCAAGAAUUCCACUUCUCUCUUCCGCCCUCAAGCACGCCAGUAUCUACCGCAUGCCUCCGGUUAAGCCGGAGAAUUAAACAGUUGACUUAGCAUACCGUCUACGCACCCUUUACGCCCAAUGAUUCCGAAUAACGCUUGCACCACUCGUAUUACCGCGGCUGCUGGCAC